rnacentral:rRNA from 1 species
UACGGAGGGUGCAAGCGUUAUCCGGAUUCACUGGGUUUAAAGGGUGCGUAGGUGGGCUGGUAAGUCAGUGGUGAAAUCUCCAGGCUUAACUUGGAAACUGCCAUUGAUACUAUCAGUCUUGAAUACCGUGGAGGUCAGCGGAAUAUGUCAUGUAGCGGUGAAAUGCUUAGAUAUGACAUAGAACACCAAUUGCGAAGGCAGCUGGCUACACGAAUAUUGGCACUGAUGCACAAAAGCGUGGGGAUCAAACAGG